rnacentral:tmRNA from 1 species
GGGGGUGCAAUGGUUUCGACGGGGGGCGGGAACGCCGGCAAGCGAGCAGCGGCAUUGCGGAACCGCUAUAAAAUCCGUAAAACUUAAAUAAUAAACGACAACAAUAAAACUGUUGCCCUUGCCGCUUAAUUAGGCAAGCGUUCGUGCAGUGAGUACCACGGCACUGUACGGGCGUCGACUUAGUGGUGAACGUGAACAGGGAAGAGUCUUGCUCUCUGUCAUGAUCUAAAGACUACCGAAACAGUAUGCCUGUCUGUGGGCGUGCUGCCGGGGGAAACUUCAAACACAGACUGCGCUCGGAGAAAACCGACCGGAUCGCCUUUCGGACAGGAGUUCGAUUCUCCUCACCUCCACCA